UCCGCCCAAUGAAGUUCCCAACGAAAUAUUGGGCGACUCAAGGUUUUACCCAUACUUCAAGAACUGUAUGGGAGCAAUUGAUGGGACACAUAUUAAUGCAAAAAUCAAGCUUGAUAAACAAACUCCUUACAGAAAUAGGCAUGGUUAUCCCUCUCAAAAUGUAAUGGCAGUAGUGUCAUUUGACAUGACAUUUUCAUAUGUGGCUGCUGGAUGGGAAGGUUCCGCAUCGGAUCAAGCCGUAUUAAGGUAAGUUUUAUCUCGUGGACUCGGGCUAUGCAAAUACUCCAAGAUUUAUUGCCCCCUAUCGUGGAGAUCGCUAUCACAUUGGUUCUUUUCGUGGAACUAAACGUCGAUAUAGUAGUGAGAAAGAUUUGUUCAAUCAUCGUC